AGAGUUUGAUCAUGGCUCAGGAUGAACGCUAGCUACAGGCUUAACACAUGCAAGUCGAGGGGCAGCAUGGUCUUAGCUCGCUAAGGCCGAUGGCGACCGGCGCACGGGUGAGUAACACGUAUCCAACCUGCCGUCUACUCUUGGACAGCCUUCUGAAAGGAAGAUUAAUACAAGAUGGCAUCAUGAGUCCGCAUGUUCACAUGAUUAAAGGUAUUCCGGUAGACGAUGGGGAUGCGUUCCAUUAGAUAGUAGGCGGGGUAACGGCCCACCUAGUCUUCGAUGGAUAGGGGUUCUGAGAGGAAGGUCCCCCACAUUGGAACUGAGACACGGUCCAAACUCCUACGGGAGGCAGCAGUGAGGAAUAUUGGUCAAUGGGCGAGAGCCUGAACCAGCCAAGUAGCGUGAAGGAUGACUGCCCUAUGGGUUGUAAACUUCUUUUAUAAAGGAAUAAAGUCGGGUAUGCAUACCCGUUUGCAUGUACUUUAUGAAUAAGGAUCGGCUAACUCCGUGCCAGCAGCCGCGGUAAUACGGAGGAUCCGAGCGUUAUCCGGAUUUAUUGGGUUUAAAGGGAGCGUAGAUGGAUGUUUAAGUCAGUUGUGAAAGUUUGCGGCUCAACCGUAAAAUUGCAGUUGAUACUGGAUAUCUUGAGUGCAGUUGAGGCAGGCGGAAUUCGUGGUGUAGCGGUGAAAUGCUUAGAUAUCACGAAGAACUCCGAUUGCGAAGGCAGCCUGCUAAGCUGCAACUGACAUUGAGGCUCGAAAGUGUGGGUAUCAAACAGGAUUAGAUACCCUGGUAGUCCACACGGUAAACGAUGAAUACUCGCUGUUUGCGAUAUACUGCAAGCGGCCAAGCGAAAGCGUUAAGUAUUCCACCUGGGGAGUACGCCGGCAACGGUGAAACUCAAAGGAAUUGACGGGGGCCCGCACAAGCGGAGGAACAUGUGGUUUAAUUCGAUGAUACGCGAGGAACCUUACCCGGGCUUAAAUUGCAUUUGAAUAUAUUGGAAACAGUAUAGCCGUAAGGCAAAUGUGAAGGUGCUGCAUGGUUGUCGUCAGCUCGUGCCGUGAGGUGUCGGCUUAAGUGCCAUAACGAGCGCAACCCUUAUCUUUAGUUACUAACAGGUCAUGCUGAGGACUCUAGAGAGACUGCCGUCGUAAGAUGUGAGGAAGGUGGGGAUGACGUCAAAUCAGCACGGCCCUUACGUCCGGGGCUACACACGUGUUACAAUGGGGGGUACAGAAGGCAGCUACCUGGUGACAGGAUGCUAAUCCCAAAAGCCUCUCUCAGUUCGGAUCGAAGUCUGCAACCCGACUUCGUGAAGCUGGAUUCGCUAGUAAUCGCGCAUCAGCCAUGGCGCGGUGAAUACGUUCCCGGGCCUUGCACUCACCGCCCGU
rnacentral:rRNA from 1 species